AACAGAACUCAGACAUAGAAGACCACAACAUCAGAGACCAGAACAUCAGAGACCACAACAUCAGAGACCAGAACAUCAGAGACCACAACAUCAGAGAACAUCUCAGAGAACAUCUCAGACAAUACAAUCUUCAGCAUCUCAACCAACUCUGAACCAUGAAGACCCUGACUGCUCUACUCCUCCUGGGACUGCUCUGCUCCCUGCAUAUGACGUCUGCAGGUGUCAUUAAAUUGGAAAAGUCAACUGAAUGCUGUAUAAAGUUCAGCGCGAGGAUCCCUCUUCAACAAGUGGUUUCUUUUAGAACAACCUCCAGUAGCUGCCCUCGCAAAGCACUGAUUUUCACCACAAAGAAAGGGAAGACAUUUUGUGUUGACCCUUCUGAAGCCUGGGUCCAGAGUCAUGUGACCAAGAUUGAGAGCAGACCACAAUGAUGUAAUCAACCACCAUCACCCCCUAACACCUCAACCCUUGUUGGUGCACUUUAAAGGGAAUAGGUUGCCAUUAGUGAUGCAGACCUUGUCAUGCAUGUCAAUAUCCUAUCUGAGAUUGGUAUGGAUUAGAUUCAAUGUAAUGUACUAGGUUAAUAUCCUAUCUGAGAUUGGUAUAGAGGAGGUUCAAUGUAAUGUACUAGGUUAAUAUCCUAUCUGAGAUUGGUAUAGAGGAGGUUCAAUGUAAUGUACUAGGUUAAUAUCCUAUCUGAGAUUGGUAUGGAUUAGGUUCAAUGUAAUGUACUAGGUUAAUAUCCUAUCUGAGAUUGGUAUGGAUUAGGUUCAAUGUAAUGUACUAGGUUAAUAUGCUAUCUGAGACUGGUAUAGAGGAGGUUCAAUGUAAUGUACUAGGUUAAUAUGCUAUCUGAGAUUGGUAUAGAGGAGGUUCAAUGUAAUGUACUAGGUCUAGGAUAUACUAAUUGUUUAUUUUUCAAUAACUGUAAAACAUAUUUGACAUGUAACUAUUCAGUAACCUAUUUAAUAUUUUAUAUUUUGUAAAGCCGUUAAAAUUUCAAAUAUCCUGUGAAAGAGUGGUUAAUAUGAUUCAAUUCAUGUAUUAAUGGAUAUAUAUGGGUUGUAACUAGGUCUAAUCUACUGAUAUAUAUAUUGGUGGUUGUAACUAGGUCUAUUCUACUGAUAUAGAUAUUAAUGGGUUGUAACUAGGUCUAUUCUACUGAUAUAGAUAUUAAUGGGUUGUAACUAGGUCUAUUCUACUAUACUGAUAUAGAUAUUAAUGGGUUGUAACUAGGUCUAUUCUACUAUACUGAUAUAGAUAUUAAUGGGUUGUAACUAGGUCUAUUCUACUGAUAUAGAUAUUAAUGGGUUGUAACUAGGUCUAUUCUACUGAUAUAGAUAUUAAUGGGUUGUAACUAGGUCUAUUCUACUAUACUGAUAUAGAUAUUAAUGGGUUGUAACUAGGUCUACUAUACUGAUAUAGAUAUUGAUGGGUUGUAACUAGGUCUAUUCUACUAUACUGAUAUAGAUAUUAAUGGGUUGUAACUAGGUCUAUUCUACUGAUAUAGAUAUUAAUGGGUUGUAACUAGGUCUAUUCUACUGAUAUAGAUAUUGAUGGGUUGUAACUAGGUCUAUUCUACUGAUAUAGAUAUUAAUGGCUUGUAACUAGGUCUAUUCUACUGAUAUAGAUAUUGAUGGGUUGUAACUAGGUCUAUUCUACUAUACUGAUAUAUAUAUUAAUGGGUUGUAACUAGGUCUAUUCUACUAUACUGAUAUAUAUAUUAAUGGGUUGUAACUAGGUCUAUUCUACUAUACUGAUAUAGAUAUUGAUGGGUUGUAACUAGGUCUAUUCUACUGAUAUAGCUAUUAAUGGGUUGUAACUAGGUCUAUUCUACUGAUAUAGCUAUUAAUGGGUUGUAACUAGGUCCAUUCUACUAUACUGAUAUAGAUAUUGAUGGGUUGUAACUAGGUCUAUUCUACUGAUAUAGCUAUUAAUGGGUUGUAACUAGGUCUAUUCUACUAUACUGAUAUAUAUAUUGAUGGGUUGUAACUAGGUCUAUUCUACUGAUACAUAUAUUAAUGGGUUGUAACUAGGUCUAUUCUACUAUACUGAUAUAGAUAUUAAUGGGUUGUAACUAGGUCUAUUCUACUAUACUGAUAUAGAUAUUAAUGGGUUGUAACUAGGGCUAUUCUACUGAUAUAGAUAUUGAUGGGUUGUAACUAGGUCUAUUCUACUGAUAUAGAUAUUAAUGGGUUGUAACUAGGUCUAUUCUACUGAUAUAGAUAUUAAUGGGUUGUAACUAGGUCUAUUCUACUGAUAUAGAUAUUAAUGGGUUGUAACUAGGUCUAUUCUACUGAUGUAGAUAUUAAUGGGUUGUAACUAGGUCUAUUCUACUGAUGUAGAUAUUAAUGGGUUGUAACUAGGUCUAUUCUACUGAUGUAGAUAUUAAUGGGUUGUAACUAGGUCUAUUCUACUGAUAUAGAUAUUAAUGGGUUGUAACUAGGUCUAUUCUACUGAUAUAGAUAUUAAUGGGUUGUAACUAGGUCUAUUCUACUGAUGUAGAUAUUAAUGGGUUGUAACUAGGUCUAUUCUACUGAUGUAGAUAUUAAUGGGUUGUAACUAGGUCUAUUCAACUGAUGUAGAUAUUGUAUUUUUCUACUAUACUGUCAACUGUUGUGCAUCUGUUGUUUUUUAAAUAAAUGAAGCCUUCUGAAGAA